rnacentral:rRNA from 1 species
UACGUAGGGGGCGAGCGUUGUCCGGAUUUAUUGGGCGUAAAGAGCUCGUAGGCGGUUUGGCAAGUCGGGUGUGAAAACUCCGGCUCAACUCGGAGACGCCACUCGAUACUGCCAUGACUCGAGUCCGGUAGGGGAGUGCGGAAUUCCUGGUGUAGCGGUGAAAUGCGCAGAUAUCAGGAGGAACACCGGUGGCGAAGGCGGGUCUCUGGGCCGAUGACUGACGCUGAGGAGCGAAAGCGUGGGGAGCGAACAGG